rnacentral:rRNA from 1 species
AUUGAACGCUGGCGGCAUGCCUUACACAUGCAAGUCGAACGGCAGCACGGGUGCUUGCACCUAGUGGCGAGUGGCGAACGGGUGAGUAUUACAUCGGAACGUACCUUAUCGUGGGGGAUAACGCAGCGAAAGCUGUGCUAAUACCGCAUACGCCCUGAGGGGGAAAGCGGGGGAUCGCAAGACCUCGCGCGAUUAGAGCGGCCGAUGCCUGAUUAGCUUGUUGGUGGGGUAAAAGCCCACCAAGGCGACGAUCAGUAGCUGGUCUGAGAGGACGAUCAGCCACACUGGGACUGAGACACGGCCCAGACUCCUACGGGAGGCAGCAGUGGGGAAUUUUGGACAAUGGGGGCAACCCUGAUCCAGCAAUGCCGCGUGAGUGAAGAAGGCCUUCGGGUUGUAAAGCUCUUUUGUCAGGGAAGAAACACCGGCUCUAACACAGUCCGGGAAUGACGGUACCUGAAGAAUAAGCACCGGCUAACUACGUGCCAGCCGCCGCGGUAA